rnacentral:tRNA from 1 species
GGCGACAUAGCUUAAUGUAAAGCCCAUGGCUCAUAACCAUGAAGAUACAGGUGCAAGUCCUGUUGUCGCUUCCA